UUUCAUUUAAACUGUUAAAAACUGUUUCUUUCCUGAUUAAGACAGCAACUUCCUGAAGAGAAGCCUGAUGAUGGAGAAGAGAUUUUGCAUUAGAACAGAAUGUGCUAAGAGAAGAAUUUCACCGGGAGGCAAAGAGGUCUACAUGAAGACAUCGAACAGAUCUCAGCUUUCAACUCAAGACCAACAGAACAUGGUCAGAGACUGCAGGCUGGUUCAGUUGCUGAAAAACAGCAAGCUAGGUUGUUGGCUGAGUGAGAUCUGUGCAGAUACUGUCGCACUCCAGCUGCUGACAGCCGGCCUCUUCCUGCUGUUUGUCUGGCUCCUGGCAGAACUGCACGUAGUCCUGC